rnacentral:rRNA from 1 species
AUUGAACGCUGGCGGCAUGCCUUACACAUGCAAGUCGAACGGUAACAGGUCUUCGGACGCUGACAAGUGGCGAACGGGUGAGUAAUACAUCGGAACGUGCCCAGUCGUGGGGGAUAACUACUCGAAAGAGUAGCUAAUACCGCAUACGAUCUGAGGAUGAAAGCGGGGGACCUUCGGGCCUCGCGCGAUUGGAGCGGCCGAUGGCAGAUUAGGUAGUUGGUGGGAUAAAAGCUUACCAAGCCGACGAUCUGUAGCUGGUCUGAGAGGACGACCAGCCACACUGGGACUGAGACACGGCCCAGACUCCUACGGGAGGCAGCAGUGGGGAAUUUUGGACAAUGGGCGAAAGCCUGAUCCAGCAAUGCCGCGUGCAGGAUGAAGGCCUUCGGGUUGUAAACUGCUUUUGUACGGAACGAAAAAGCUUCUCCUAAUACGAGAGGCCCAUGACGGUACCGUAAGAAUAAGCACCGGCUAACUACGUGCCAGCAGCCGCAGUAAUAC